CCUAUCUUAAUUACUUAUUAGUAUAUUAAUGCAAUAUUGAUUAAUUGAUAAUUUAUUAGUUUUAAUGUUAGGAUUUUAAGAGAUUAUAUAAUGUAUGCAAGUUCUAAAUACUGCUGAAUAUCAUUAGCAACUACCCGAGAAAAAAAUAAUUAUUGAUAUUAAGUAAAAAAACUGAUAUAAACAUUUAGGUAUAAAUAAUCUAAGUAUUCAAAACUAGCGAGCCUUUGUAAAUGUAUACAUGUAAUAUUAAACAAAUCCCAAAAAUAAUACUGAUUUUUUUA